rnacentral:tRNA from 1 species
GGGGAAUUAGCUCAGUCUGGUAGAGCGCCUGCUUUGCAAGCAGGAUGUCAUCGGUUCGAGUCCGUUAUUCUCCA